UGCUGCUUCAAGUUUUAUACCCUGUUUACCCUCUCGAUUGACGCUUCCCCUUUCCCUCUUCUGUUCCUUCCUUCUAGCUUGGGGUUUUUGCCGAUUUGCUCCCUCUGUCUCUCAACCUUUUCUUUUCUUUUUCUUUACAACAUUACGCUUGGCCUUCUCAACCUUUUCUUUUCUUUUUCUCUCUGUCACUCUUUCGCUUGCUCUCAGUUGGUGGGUUUCCAAGUUACUGCAACUGAAAGAAGUUCAAAGUGACCUAGGACCAGAGGUAGUGUCAACACCGGCAUACUUUAAGUAGGAUGCAUGAUUCCCACUAGUUUCAAUACAAGAUUCUCAACGCUCAAGGGACAUCAUAUCAUGCCUAUACAUGCCCUGCACUUCUGUUAAAUGAGAAAUCCAACUAGCAGGGCAGCAAUUUCCACUGCUGGUUAUAUUUUGUUUGGUUCCUUUUUCAUGUCUAUGGUUAUGGUUCAUGUUGUUGUUGCAUUUGUUUUUAUUUCACCGAAAAUAUGUUUUGAGAGGAAUUGGAGUCCCUGAUUUGAAUAUCCUUAUGCUGCUUAACCGUCAUCCUCGAAUAUUUUUGUAUAAUUCAGUUCAGCUUAAGGAGAUUGUGGAGGAAGUCAAAGGAAUGGGAAUUAAUUAGAAGUGAGUUAGCAUAGGCUGCAGCAUUAGUAUUUUGUAGGAUGUGCCAUGUUGCCCUUGAAGACCAAAGGAAUUACUUUUUGCACGUUCAUGUCCCGUUGUCUUGUUUCAGUUCAUUAUUUUGGUCUGAAACUUCUUGUAGUUGGAAUUUGUCAAUGGAAGCAGCCAUGUUUUUGUAGCUGUA